rnacentral:rRNA from 1 species
UGACGCCUGCCCAGUGAACGCCCAAGUUUUAACGGCCGCGGUAUCCUAACCGUGCAAAGGUAGCGUAAUCACUUGUCCUCUAAAUAGGGACCAGUAUGAACGGCUAAAUGAGGGCCCAACUGUCUCAUAUGACCACCCAAUGAAACUGAUCUCUCAGUACAAAAGCUGAGAUACCCCUACAAGACGAGAAGACCCUGUGGAACUUCAACUACAUUACCAACUCAACUUACCCGCAAUCCACAGGAUUGCUACACCCCCUGCGCCCAUUGGUAAAAGUUUAAGUUGGGGCAACUAUGGAGUAAAAACCAACCUCCACGUAACCAACUCCUAGGUUAACCAACCUAAGAAAAUACACUUUUUGACCCAGUAAUACUGAUCAACGAAACAAGCUACCCCAGGGAUAACAGCGCCAUCCCCUUUCAGAGUCCACAUCGCCAAGGGGGUUUACGACCUCGAUGUUGGAUCAGGGCUUCCUAGUAGUGUAGCCGCUA